rnacentral:rRNA from 1 species
UACGUAGGGUGCAAGCGUUGCCCGGAUUUAUUGGGCGUAAAGGGCGCGUAGGCGGCUCUGCACGUUCGUUGUGAAAUCGCCCGGCUCAACUGGGCGGGGUCAGCGGAUACGGCAGAGCUUGAGCAAGCUAGGGGGCAAUGGAAUUCCCGGUGUAGUGGUGGAAUGCGUAGAUAUCGGGAAGAACACCCGUGGCGAAGGCGGCUCUCUGGGACGGUACUGACGCUGAGACGCGAAAGCGUGGGGAGCAAACAGG